rnacentral:rRNA from 1 species
UGGGGAAUUUUGGACAAUUGGGGGCAACCCUGAUCCAGCCAUGCCGCGUGAGUGAUGAAGGCCUUCGGGUUGUAAAGCUCUUUUGGCGGGGACGAUGAUGACGGUACCCGCAGAAUAAGCCCCGGCUAACUUCGUGCCAGCAGCCGCGGUAAGACGAAGGGGGCUAGCGUUGUUCGGAAUUACUGGGCGUAAAGCGAGUGUAGGCGGUUGCCGUAGUCAGGUGUGAAAGCCUUGAGCUCAACUCAAGAAAUGCACUUGAUACUGGGUGACUAGAGGACCGGAGAGGAUAGUGGAAUUCCCAGUGUAGUGGUGAAAUACGUAGAGAUUGGGAAGAACACCAGUGGCGAAGGCGGCUAUCUGGACGGUUACUGACGCUAAGACUCGAAAGCGUGGGGAGCAAACAGGAUUAGAUACCCUGGUAGUCCACGCCGUAAACGAUGGGUGCUAGACGUUGGCGAGCUUGCUCGUCAGUGUCGCAGCUAACGCGUU